AUUGAACGCUGGCGGCAUGCCUUACACAUGCAAGUCGAACGGCAGCACGGGAGCAAUCCUGGUGGCGAGUGGCGAACGGGUGAGUAAUACAUCGGAACGUGCCCAAUCGGUGGGGGAUAACGCAGCGAAAGCUGUGCUAAUACCGCAUACGAUCUACGGAUGAAAGCAGGGGACCCGCAAGGGCCUUGCGCGGAUGGAGCGGCCGAUGGCGGAUUAGGUAGUUGGUGGGGUAAAGGCUCACCAAGCCUUCGAUCUGUAGCUGGUCUGAGAGGACGACCAGCCACACUGGGACUGAGACACGGCCCAG
rnacentral:rRNA from 1 species